UACUCGGAUCUGGGUGUCAAUUUUUUUCUACACUUUUCGGUGUAUUUUGUGCAAGAAUAUGAAAUAAAAUCUUCUGCCUAAGAAAAAUUGAAUUUUUUUGGUAAUUUUUUUUGGUUUUUCAUGCGUUUUUGGUCAUAAAAAAGGUCUUCCUCUACUCGGAUCUGGGUGUCAAUUUUUUUCUACACUUUUCGGUGUAUUUUCUGCAAGAAUAUGCAAUAAAAUCGUCUGCCUAAGAAAACUUGAAUUUUUUUGGUAAGUUUUUUAUGCUUUUGGAUGCGUUUUUGGUCAUAAAAAGGGUCUUCCUCUACUCGGAUCUGGGUGUCAAUUUUUUUCUACACUUUUCGGUGUAUUUUGUGCAAGAAUAUGCAAUAAAAUCUUCUGCCUAAGAAAAAUUGAAUUUUUUUGUUAUUUUUUUUGGUUUUUCAUGCGUUUUUGGUCAUAAAAAGGGUCUUCCUCUACUCGGAUCUGGGUGUCAAUUUUUUUCUACACUUUUCGGUGUAUUUUGUGCAAGAAUAUGCAAUAAAAUCUUCUGCCUAAGAAAAAUUGAAUUUUUUUGGUAAUUUUUUUUGGUUUUUCAUGCGUUUUUGGUCAUAAAAAAGUCUUCCUCUACUCGGAUCUGGGUGUCAAUUUUUUUCUACACUUUUCGGUGUAUUUUGUGCAAGAAUAUGCAAUAAAAUCUUCUGCCUAAGAAAAAUUGAAUUUUUUUGUUAUUUUUUUUGGUUUUUCAUGCGUUUUUGGUCAUAAAAAGGUCUUCCUCUACUCGGAUCUGGGUGUCAAUUUUUUUCUACACUUUUCGGUGUAUUUUGUGCAAGAAUAUGCAAUAAAAUCUUCUGCCUAAGAAAAAUUGAAUUUUUUUGUUAUUUUUUUUGGUUUUUCAUGCGUUUUUGGUCAUAAAAAGGUCUUCCUCUACUCGGAUCUGGGUGUCAAUUUUUUUCUACACUUUUCGGUGUAUUUUGUGCAAGAAUAUGCAAUAAAAUCUUCUGCCUAAGAAAAAUUGAAUUUUUUUGUUAUUUUUUUUGGUUUUUCAUGCGUUUUUGGUCAUAAAAAGGUCUUCCUCUACUCGGAUCUGGGUGUCAAUUUUUUUCUACACUUUUCGGUGUAUUUUGUGCAAGAAUAUGCAAUAAAAUCUUCUGCCUAAGAAAAAUUGAAUUUUUUUGUUAUUUUUUUUGGUUUUUCAUGCGUUUUUGGUCAUAAAAAGGGUCUUCCUCUACUCGGAUCUGGGUGUCAAUUUUUUUCUACACUUUUCGGUGUAUUUUGUGCAAGAAUAUGCAAUAAAAUCUUCUGCCUAAGAAAAAUUGAAUUUUUUUGGUAAUUUUUUUUG